GAAGAUCCAGAAGGCUGUUAUUUUGAAGGUGAUCAGAAAAUGCACGCACCUGGCACAACAUGGCAUCCGUUCGUCCCGCCAUUCGGUUACAUCAAGUGUGCAGUGUGUACCUGCAAGGGCUCCACAGGGGAAGUGCACUGCGAGAAAGUGACGUGCCCGCCUCUCACCUGCAG